GAGUUUGAUCAUGGCUCAGGAUGAACGUUAGCGGCGUGCCUAACACAUGCAAGUCGAACGAACAGCCAGAAUCUUAGGAAUCUGGCGGGUUAGUGGCGCACGGGUGAGUAACACGUAGGUGACCUGCCCCGAAGUGGGGGACAACCACUGGAAACAGUGGCUAAUACCGCAUGUGCUUAGCCAUUCGGUUGGUUAAGUAAAGCUGAGGCGCUUCGGGAGGGGCCUGCGGUCGAUUAGCUAGUUGGUGAGGUAAUGGCUCACCAAGGCGAUGAUCGAUAGGGGGCGUGAGAGCGUGA
rnacentral:rRNA from 1 species